GUCAGCUCGUGUCGUGAGAUGUUGGGUUAAGUCCCGCAACGAGCGCAACCCUUAUUAUCAGUUGCCAGCAUUAAGNUGGGCACUCUGGUGAGACUGCCGGUGACAAACCGGAGGAAGGUGGGGAUGACGUCAAAUCAUCAUGCCCCUUAUGACCUGGGCUACACACGUGCUACAAUGGAUGGUACAACGAGUUGCGAACUCGCGAGAGUAAGCUAAUCUCUUAAAGCCAUUCUCAGUUCGGAUUGUAGGCUGCAACUCGCCUACAUGAAGUCGGAAUCGCUAGUAAUCGCGGAUCAGCAUGCCGCGGUGAAUACGUUCCCGGGUCUUGUACACAC
rnacentral:rRNA from 1 species